UCGGACGGAUGGUUUCGACCAUCAGAGGCGCACGGGUGAGUAAGCGCGUGGGAACCGCCCUGCCAGUGGGGGAUAAGCCGAGGGACACUUCGGGUAAUACCGCAUGCGCCCCGGGAGUGAUCCUGGAGGAAAGAUUGAUCGAUGAGAGAGGGGCCCGCGUCGGAUUAGCUGGUUGGUGGGGUAACGGCCUACCAAGGCGAUGAUCGGUAGCUGGUCUGAGAGGAUGAUCAGCCACCCCGGGACUGAGACACGGCCCAGACUCCUACGGGAGCCAGCAGUGGGGAAUAUUGGACAAUGGGCGCCAAGCCUGAUCCAGCAAUUCCGCGUGAGUGAUGAAGGCCUUAGGGGGAGAAGCUCUGCCGCCGGGGANGAUGAUGNNGGGUUGUAAAAGAGAGGGCCAGGCCCAUCACGAGUUUGCGCUGUCNGCGUGAGCUAACACUAGUCAGGGUG
rnacentral:rRNA from 1 species